UGCUGUGAUGGUGUAAUUUGCGUCUUACACUGUGCACAGUGGCAGUUGCCUUCUGUCAUUACACUGGUGCAGGAGAAUGACGAACAAUGAAGUCUGAGCA